AAGAGCGUGAAGGAAGAAAAGAGAAUUUGAAAAGGAAAAGGCGCGGCUAGAUCUGGAAGUGUCCGUUGCGUUUGAUCCUUAACCCUAAUCUCUACAAGUUUGAUCUGAGAGAGAAGAGAAAUGGACAAGUAGGAGAAGGGACAUACGGGAAAGUGUACAAGGCUCUGAAGAAGACGCGUCUGGAGAUGGACGAGGAUUGGCAAAGAAUGUGCCUUCCUUAGGACCUGAUGGUCUCGACCUUCUCACGAAAAUGCUCAAGUUUAAUCCUUCUGAGAGAAUAUCUGCCAAGGCAGCACUUGAUCAUCCCUACUUUGACAGUCUUGACAAGUCUCAAUUUUAGUUGUGCCUCUUAGUCAAAAGUAAAGUGUCUGUCAAGCAGUACUAUAUAGAAGUCGAAGAAAAUUAUUCAUGGCAUGGAGUUUAAAGAUAUGUCAAAUUGAGCUUGUGUAAUAUUUCGUCAUCAUCUUGGUGAUAUGAACAGUUCACUCUUUAGAACAGUUCAUGGUUGCCAUGGUCUUUGUAGGCUAGUUAAUGAUUGCGGAGUAAAAACAAACAGGAAAACAGGGAGAUAUUAACAAAUAUUUCAUUGUUAGAAGACAGUUUUAUUGUUUUCAGAGUACCAUCUUAUCUUCUGUUUGUGCAAGGAUAAACCAUUAAUUUCUUUUUUAAA